ACGGGGCGCAGCAGGCGCGAAACCUUUACACUGUACGCAAGUGCGAUAAGGGGACUCCGAGUGUGAAGGCAUAGAGCCUUCACUUUUGUACACCGUAAGGUGGUGUACGAAUAAGGGCUGGGCAAGACCGGUGCCAGCCGCCGCGGUAAUACCGGCAGCCCGAGUGAUGGCCGAUAUUAUUGGGCCUAAAGCGUCCGUAGCUGGCCGGACAAGUCCGUUGGGAAAUCUGUUCGCUUAACGAGCAGGCGUCCAGCGGAAACUGUUCGGCUUGGGACCGGAAGACCUGAGGGGUACGUCCGGGGUAGGAGUGAAAUCCUGUAAUCCUGGACGGACCACCGGUGGCGAAAGCGCCUCAGGAGGACGGAUCCGACAGUGAGGGACGAARGCUAGGGUCUCGAACCGGAUUAGAUACCCGCGUAGUCC
rnacentral:rRNA from 1 species